rnacentral:rRNA from 1 species
ACGCUCGACACCUACGGGUGGCAGCAGUGGGGAAUAUUGCACAAUGGAGGAAACUCUGAUGCAGCGAUGCCGCGUGAGGGAAGAAGGUUUUCGGAUUGUAAACCUCUGUCUUUGGGGACGAUAAUGACGGUACCCAAGGAGGAAGCUCCGGCUAACUACGUGCCAACAGCCGCGGUAAUCUGAGCGGGCUGGCAAGGC